GGUGCACAUUUGUGUAAGUCGCUCUGGAUAAGAGCGUCUGCUAAAUGACGUAAA
rfam:Salmo salar isolate Sally breed double haploid chromosome ssa12, whole genome shotgun sequence.